rnacentral:rRNA from 1 species
ACUGAGACACGGCCCAGACUCCUACGGGAGGCAGCAGUAGGGAAUCUUCCGCAAUGGACGAAAGUCUGACGGAGCAACGCCGCGUGAACGAAGAAGGCCUUCGGGUCGUAAAGUUCUGUUGUUAGGGAAGAACAAGUACCAGAGUAACUGCUGGUACCUUGACGGUACCUAACCAGAAAGCCACGGCUAACUACGUGCCAGCAGCCGCGGUAAUACGUAGGUGGCAAGCGUUGUCCGGAAUUAUUGGGCGUAAAGCGCGCGCAGGUGGUUCCUUAAGUCUGAUGUGAAAGCCCACGGCUCAACCGUGGAGGGUCAUUGGAAACUGGGGAACUUGAGUGCAGAAGAGGAAAGUGGAAUUCCAAGUGUAGCGGUGAAAUGCGUAGAGAUUUGGAGGAACACCAGUGGCGAAGGCGACUUUCUGGUCUGUAACUGACACUGAGGCGCGAAAGCGUGGGGAGCAAACAGGAUUAGAUACCCUGGUAGUCCACGCCGUAAACGAUGAGUGCUAAGUGUUAGAGGGUUUCCGCCCUUAGUGCUGCAGCUAACGCAUUAAGCACUCCGCCUGGGGAGUACGGCCGCAAGGCUGAAACUCAAAGGAA